GCCUCGCCUGACGUUAACUGCUCGUAUUUAUAUUCUCCUCCCUUACCCUCGUAUAAUCGCAUCACCGUGUCUGGGGUUCAUGAGUGCCCGUCAGCCGCUCUCCGCUGACACUGCUGACAACCCUUCGCCGCCCCGUGAUAUCAUAUAUUUUGCUGAACACAGCGCUGCAAUGGUUUUGAUGGAUGACGACCAUUUAUCAUGCAUCCCCUGCGAGUGGCCGAUGGUUGGUGGCGGCUGUGGGUGAGUGGUUGUGGAUGAGAUGGUGGCGGCGGGAGUGGUGGACUGGGAGACAUGAGGGUGGAGGGACGGUGAGGGAAGUAGGCGGGUGGAGGGUGGUGAGGGGGGUGGCUGCCCUGCUGGAACUGCUCGUCUGUGUGGGUAAUGACCUUUUAAAAAGUACGAAUCGCAUGAUCUCAAUUAUUUGUGAUUAAUCUGAUGUAUGCAAAUAUAAAAGCUCCUUAGGCAUUGUUGUGGAAGCAGCGAAUAAAUAAAAUGUGGCGCCAGGAAGUUUUCAAUAAAUGAUGAUCUUAGUAUAACGAGUAGCUGCACUACAUCCGUUUUAGCUGCUGAUUUGACUUUAUGAAAUUGAUGUAGGCAAGAUUAUUCUUUUAUAUAUAUUCUAAAAUAAGAUAACACAACGUUUUUAUCUUUAUAGAGGUUUGAGGAAGUUACUACAAAUUCUCUAAAGAUGGUAUCCCCCUGCACACCAAUGCGCGGGACACAGUGGCGCGGCGCGGCGGUACUGAUGUUUGCCUGGUGAGUGUGAGUUGUCAGGAUAUUUAUCAAAAAACGCCUCCAUCCGUGACUCUCAGUGGGUGCUGCUUGUGUGCUACUAUCAGGCGGUGAUGGGUGGUGAUGACAGGGACGGGGAGCAAAGGUGUGAGAAAGCAGAGGAACGAUAUUCGGCCAUCAGAGAGAAGAACAAGCCUGAGUGACGGCUGGCUUCCAGUGGUCUAGGGCUGGUGGUCUUCGGACGGCCGUUCCUGUGAUAAGUGAGCAGUAUAAUCUGGUGGCGCAUUACGAGGGUCUCCUUAAGCCCCCGCCUCGCCUCUCUAUUGAUGACGCUCAGCCUGCUCCUUGGAUACAAGCAGCAGAAGACGAACAGCCACCGGUAAAGGUAGUGCGGAUCAAUGUGGUUCAAUCAAACAGUCUCAUUAGGACCUAAAGGCUUGUUGCUGUUUGAGACUCGCUUGUGUUCUCCAGUAUUCACCUGCGUACCAGUUACAGGAACUCGAGACUUUUUGGCCGUCAACGAGAGCUGGCAGACAACGACGAAAAAGUGAUCCAGGAACAGGUUAGAAUUAAGGCUUUAGCACAGCAGCCUCGGUAAUGAACACCACGAAAGAAAAAAGAAAAAAAAAUGCAAAAAAAAAAAAAAGAAGGUAACUAACCCCAGACGUGAAGUUUUAAUUGCUGGUUUAAUUAAAGUGAGUGGUUUUCCAAGAAUUCUUUAUAUUUUCUCUACUUUCUGUCUAUCCGUCUGUCUAUGUCUGUGUGUGUGUUUGCAUGUGUAUUUGCUUGUUUGCCUGCUUGUUUCUGUUCAUCUGCUUCUAUGUAAGUCUUUC